CUAAGCUAAAAAGAAAAUAAUAAAUAAAUAAAAACAAUUUUUUGAUUUGAAAAAGUCAGUGAAGUAUUCUCUGCAACAUAAAUUUACAUCAAUUUAAUGAGAAAUUUAAAAAUAAUCACUUGAUUCCCGAUAAAGGAUUUAGAACAUUAGUGAAGAAUCGUAUUGUGAAUGAUAGCCUAUCAAGAAGUAGCAUGUGAUGGGUCAUUAAUUUAAAAUAUCUACUUUUGACAUAUGUAAGAAGCACUCUUGGAUUCACAAAAGAUUUAACGACUUUUUCUAACAGAAAACAGAAAAUAAAACUUUAAAAUGCGUUAUUUUUAGCAAAUAACCAAUUGACCUACAUAUUUUUGAAAUUUCCUCAAACUUUUAAUAAGAAUGGAAACACUUUCCGAUA